rnacentral:misc_RNA from 1 species
GAUGAAGAACGUAGCGAAAUGCGAUAAGUAGUGUGAAUUGCAGAAUUCCGUGAAUCAUCGAAUCUUUGAACGCACAUUGCGCCCUGUGGUAUUCCGCAGGGCAUGCCUGUUCGAGCGUCAUUUCAACCCUCAAGCUCUGCUUGGUGUUGGGCCCUGCCCGCUGCGGCCGGCCCUAAAGACAGUGGCGGUGCCGCCUGGCCCUGAGCGUAGUACAUCUCUCGCUCCAGUGCCCGGUGGUAGCCUGCCAGAACCCCAACUCUCGUGGUUGACCUCGGAUCAGGUAGGGAUACCCGCUGAACUUAAGCAUAUCAAUAAGCGGAGGA